rnacentral:rRNA from 1 species
CAGUCGCCACGGUAAUACGAAGGGUGCAAGCGUUACUCGGAAUUACUGGGCGUAAAGCGUGCGUAGGUGGUGGUUUAAGUCCGUUGUGAAAGCCCUGGGCUCAACCUGGGAAUUGCAGUGGAUACUGGAUCACUAGAGUGUGGUAGAGGAUAGUGGAAUUUCCGGUGUAGCAGUGAAAUGCGUAGAGAUCGGAAGGAACAUCUGUGGCGAAGGCGACUAUCUGGGCCAACACUGACACUGAGGCACGAAAGCGUGGGGAGCAAGCAGGAUUAGAUACCCCUGUAGUCCCUGUCUCUUAUAC